rnacentral:rRNA from 1 species
AACGAACGCUGGCGGCAGGCUUAACACAUGCAAGUCGAGCGCCCCGCAAGGGGAGCGGCAGACGGGUGAGUAACGCGUGGGAAUCUACCCAUCUCUACGGAAUAACGCAUGGAAACGUGUGCUAAUACCGUAUACGUCCUUCGGGAGAAAGAUUUAUCGGAGAUGGAUGAGCCCGCGUUGGAUUGGCUAGUUGGUGGGGUAAAGGCCUACCAAGGCGACGAUCCAUAGCUGGUCUGAGAGGAUGAUCAGCCAAACGGGGACUGAGACACGGCCCAGACUCCUACGGGAGGCAGCAGUGGGGAAUAUUGGACAAUGGGCGCAAGCCUGAUCCAGCCAUGCCGCGUGAGUGAUGAAGGCCCUAGGGUUGUAAAGCUCUUUCACCGGUGAAGAUAAUGACGGUAACCGGAGAAGAAGCCCCGGCUAACUUCGUGCCAGCCGCCGCCGUAACAC